GACGAACGCUGGCGGCGUGCUUAACACAUGCAAGUCGAACGGAAAGGCCCUGCUUUUGUGGGGUGCUCGAGUGGCGAACGGGUGAGUAACACGUGAGUAACCUGCCCUUGACUUUGGGAUAACUUCAGGAAACUGGGGCUAAUACCGGAUAGGAGCUCCUGCUGCAUGGUGGGGGUUGGAAAGUUUCGGCGGUUGGGGAUGGACUCGCGGCUUAUCAGCUUGUUGGUGGGGUAGUGGCUUACCAAGGCUUUGACGGGUAGCCGGCCUGAGAGGGUGACCGGCCACAUUGGGACUGAGAUACGGCCCAGACUCCUACGGGAGGCAGCAGUGGGGAAUAUUGCACAAUGGGCGGAAGCCUGAUGCAGCAACGCCGCGUGCGGGAUGACGGCCUUCGGGUUGUAAACCGCUUUCGCUUGUGACGAAGCGUGAGUGACGGUAAUGGGUAAAGAAGCACCGGCUAACUACGUGCCAGCAGCCGCGGUGAUACGUAGGGUGCGAGCGUUGUCCGGAUUUAUUGGGCGUAAAGGGCUCGUAGGUGGUUGAUCGCGUCGGAAGUGUAAUCUUGGGGCUUAACCCUGAGCGUGCUUUCGAUACGGGUUGACUUGAGGAAGGUAGGGGAGAAUGGAAUUCCUGGUGGAGCGGUGGAAUGCGCAGAUAUCAGGAGGAACACCAGUGGCGAAGGCGGUUCUCUGGGCCUUUCCUGACGCUGAGGAGCGAAAGCGUGGGGAGCGAACAGGCUUAGAUACCCUGGUAGUCCACGCUGUAAACGGUGGGUACUAGGUGUGGGGUCCAUUCCACGGGUUCCGUGCCGUAGCUAACGCUUUAAGUACCCCGCCUGGGGAGUACGGCCGCAAGGCUAAAACUCAAAGGAAUUGACGGGGCCCCGCACAAGCGGCGGAGCAUGCGGAUUAAUUCGAUGCAACGCGUAGAACCUUACCUGGGUUUGACAUGGAUCGGGAGCGCUCAGAGAUGGGUGUGCCUCUUUUGGGGUCGGUUCACAGGUGGUGCAUGGCUGUCGUCAGCUCGUGUCGUGAGAUGUUGGGUUAAGUCCCGCAACGAGCGCAACCCCUGUUCACUGUUGCCAGCACGUUAUGGUGGGGACUCAGUGGAGACCGCCGGGGUCAACUCGGAGGAAGGUGGGGAUGACGUCACGUCAUCAUGCCCCUUAUGUCCAGGGCUUCACGCAUGCUACAAUGGCUGGUACAGAGAGUGGCGAGCCUGUGAGGGUGAGCGAAUCUCGGAAAGCCGGUCUCAGUUCGGAUUGGGGUCUGCAACUCGACCUCAUGAAGUCGGAGUCGCUAGUAAUCGCAGAUCAGCAACGCUGCGGUGAAUACGUUCCCGGGGCU
rnacentral:rRNA from 1 species